rnacentral:siRNA from 1 species
ACUCUUUCCGCUGCUCCGGUCUU